UGGUUGAUGCAUCAGGCACAUGUAUUAUCUGAGUAAAUAAUAAAAGGGCUUAUGUGAAAUGGACCCAUGUAAGGUAUAUCUUUGAAAGGGCUGGAAAGAUGGGACUUGACAUCAGUUGGGACCUUGCAGGGGAAGGAGCCCUGCCCUUUCAGAGCAGCAGGGCUUGCUGAAAGCCACAGUGUUUUCUGUGUCUGGGCGCUGUGUUCUGCGCUCAGUGGAUUUGUGCAUGCUUCCUCUGUUUCAGUCCUGGUGGCAGGAGGUAGAAUGGUGAACAAAACAACCCAUCCCUGCUUUCAUGGAGCCUAAAGUCUACUGAGGAUGCCUGACCCUGAGCAAAUGACCACGGUGGUGAAUGUAGUAUUAGAGCAGCCAAAGAACCUAGAAAGAAAGAAGGAAAAAUUCUCCCCCCAGCACCCCCUGACAGUUUGGUGACCUGCAAAGGGACAUUCAUUCGCUGGCUGGACACAGCUUCCUCCAGGGAGGCUGCCGCUGAGAGAGCCGCAGAAGCCAGGUAAACAAGCUAGAGCUGGACAACUUGAUAAAACUUCAAAGAAAUCACCACAGUAGCUCAUGUAUGGACAACCUUAAUGCCUCCGUGCCACAGAAGGAUCACCAGAGACAUUCAAACUGCCAACCAGAAAAAUCUAGCAGGUUGCAGAUGCCCUUGCUUACUCCAUCUGAAGAGGUUAGGAGCCAGAUAUCUAGAAAUCUCGACAGCCUGCCUUUAGAACUCAGAAACCGGGAGUGUAAUCUUCUCCAGUCAUUAACUAUUGUUUUUCUUUUGUUUCCAUAGAAAUGCU